rnacentral:rRNA from 1 species
GAUGAACGCUGGCGGCGUGCCUAAUACAUGCAAGUCGAGCGAACAGACGAGGAGCUUGCUCCUCUGACGUUAGCGGCGGACGAGUGAGUAACAAGUGGAUAACCUACCUAUAAGACUGGGAUAACUACGGGAAACCGGAGCGAAUAACGGAUAAUAUAUUGAACCGCAUGGUUCAAUAGUGAAAGACGGUUUUGCUGUCACUUAUAGAUGGAUCCGCGCCGCAUUAGCUAGUUGGUAAGGUAACGGCUUACCAAGGCAACGAUGCGUAGCCGACCUGAGAGGAGGAUCGGCCACACUGGAACUACUACACGGUGCAGCAUACUACGGGAGGCAGCAGUAGGGAGUCUUCCGCAAUGGGCGGAAGACUGACGGAGCAACGCCGCGUGAGUAAUGAAGGUCUUCGGAGCGUAAAACUCUGUUAUUAGGGAAGAACAAAUGUGUAAGUAACUAUGCACGUCUUGACGGUACCUAAUCAGAAAGCCACGGCUAACUACGUG